AACACACAUCUGAUUCUGAUCCCAGAGCAGGGAAAAUGAAGCCCUCAGAUCAGAGGACAGAUAGGACAUGAUGAAGGGGAAGAAUAUAUAUAAAGUCACGGGCAUAGUACUUAACCUUCGAUACAACGUUUAAGUAACCCUCCCCCUACAGCGUCAGUCCUGCAAGGUGCUACUGGAAUGUAGCUCAGUGCCAGUCAUCCUGUGGUAGCUACCUUUCUAUUAGAUUUUUCUCCAGUCUGCAGCACCAACCUGCCUGAGAGGACUCUGGGACAGAUCACAAUUUAAUGGACCAUGCCUCAGGACUACCUGGCCUGAUGACUCCUUGCUGUCCUCAGUCCACCUGGCCGUGCUGCUGCUCCAGUUUCAACUGUUCUUUCCUGCGGCUAUGGAACCCUGACCUGUUCACCGGACGUGCUACCUGUCCCAGACCUGCUGUUUUCAACUCUCUAGAGACAGCAGGAGCGGUAGAGAUACUCUGAGUGAUCGGCUAUGAAAAGCCAACUGACAUUUACUCCUGAGGUGCUGACCUGUUGCACCCUCGACAACCACUGUGAUUAUUAUUAUUUGACCCUGCUGGUCAUCUAUGAACAUUUGAACAUCUUGGCCAUGUUCUGUUAUAAUCUCCACCCGGCACAGCCAGAAGAGGACUGGCCACCCCUCAUAGCCUGGUUCCUCUCUAGGUUUCUUCCUAGGUUCUGGCCUUUCUAGGAAGUUUUUCCUAGCCACCGUGCUUCUACACCUGCAUUGCUUGCUGUUUGGGGCUUUAGGCUGAGUUUCUGUACAGCACUUUGAGAUAUCAGCUGAUGUAAGAAGGGCUUUAUAAAUACAUUUGAUUUGAACUCCUAUACUUCGAGUGCAUUACACUGAGCUAGAGGCAAAGUGAUUGAGCCCCUGGCUUUGCACAAUGCAGGGUGAAGGUGUGCCUCUAGUUACGCUUACACCUCUUCUCCUCACAGAGCAAUGAGCAUUUCCAAGAAUAAAUGCAUUGUGAAUGUA